rnacentral:rRNA from 1 species
UGGGGAAUAUUGGGCAAUGGGCGAAAGCCUGACCCAGCAACGCCGCGUGAAGGAAGACGGUCUUCGGAUUGUAAACUUCUUUAAUUGGGGAAGAAAUAAAUGACCUACCCAAAGAAUAAGUCACGGCUAACUACGUGCCAGCAGCCGCGGUAAUACGUAGGUGACAAGCGUUAUCCGGAUUUACUGGGCGUAAAGGGCGUGUAGGCGGCUUAGCAAGUCAGAUGUGAAAUUCUUGGGCUCAACCCGAGAGCUGCAUCUGAAACUGCUGAGCUUGAGUGCUGGAUGGGAUAGCGGAAUUCCUGGUGGAGCGGUAAAAUGCGCAGAUAUCAGGAAGAACACCGGUGGCGAAG